UUGGUGCUUCCGGUGCAAUUUUCGGAUUGGUAAGUCUGUUGGAACCAUAAGCCUUUCUUCUCAUACAAAAUGAAGUUUGUUAAAUGAUAACCUCUUUUCCUUUUUGUAGGUUGGCUCGGUAGCUGUAUUUGUCAUGAGACACAAACAAAUGGUCAGAGGUGGGAAUGAAGAUCUGAUGCAGAUAGCUCAAGUUAUUGCCUUAAACAUGGUAAGUAAUAGAAUUUUUUUUAAUUUUUAUUAUUCUUUCUCAAGGUCUAACAAGCUUUGACUAUGCAGACAUUGGGUUUAGUGUCAAGAGGCAUAGAUAACUGGGGACAUGUAAGUAACCAAAUCAUGCCUUAAAAAUUUAUUAAACAGUAGUAGAUGUCUGAGAAAUAACAUCUCUGGUGAAUUUCAGAUUGGUGGCUUACUUGGUGGAACCGCAAUGGCAUGGCUUGUAGGACCACAGUGGAAGUAUGAGUACACAACAAGAGACGGUCGGAGAGUCUUCGUGGACAGGGCUCCAAUGCCACUCUUUUUGCGGUGGAGAAAUGAACGGGGACGAAGCUGAACAGUU
rnacentral:lncRNA from 1 species